rfam:Triticum aestivum genome assembly, contig: Triticum_aestivum_CS42_TGACv1_scaffold_503528_6BL
UUUGUGCUCCCUCCGUCCCAAAAUUCUUGUCUUAAAUUUGUCUAAAUACGGAUGUAUCUAGUUACAUUUUAGGGUUAGAUACAUCCAUAUCUAAACAAAUGUAAGACAAGAAUUUUGGGACGGAGGGAAUACUAC